rnacentral:lncRNA from 12 species
CAGACAGUUACCAAAUGCAUGGGAACCAUCAAGAAAGGAAUUCUGUUUCUCUGGUCCCAGGCACUAAUUCAACAGGAGACAAAGAAAGCUAUUUAUUGAAGCUAUCCAUAGGCCAGGGGCCUAAUUUUAUGUGGUGGGAAAAUUUCUGCCAAAUGCUUGGUAAUAAAGAAAAAUUAUCAACUGUUAGAGACCUUGCCAGGUCAGCUUAAUUUGGUGGUAAAGGGAGGUGAUGAGACGGUUGAUAAAACAACUGUAAAUCUUUACUGAAUAUACAGCUUUAAUUGUCUGUCUUUAAACUUACAGGCUUUCCUUGUGAUGUGCAGGAGCCAGCCUGGACCAGCUUGUGAGAGCCAAGUGUGCUCAUGUCUUUCUAAUUCUGUGUUCAGAAAAGUCACAUUGGUUGCUCGAAAUUGGCUAGAGUGGGAGUAUUUACACCAGGGCAAUCAGCAAAUGCUACAAAUCAGGGCCUGUUUUUUGACAGAUAGUUGUAAAAUAUUUGCAGCAUACUCCUGGCUUUUACCCGCGUAAUAAACAACAGGUACCUCUGUCCAAGAAUAUUCAGAAGAAGUUUCUUUGGUGGUGGAGGACAGCCAUAAUCGAGGAGACAAGGGUGUCUCUUGAUAUCUUUUCCAUCAACCUGUGUCUCCAGAAGGCUGGCAGCCCAGUUGGGUAUGAACAAAGAAAGUGCACCUUCGAGAAAUGAAAAGAAGCAAGGAUGAGAAAAAAGACACAGGAAGCAUGGUUGGUCCCUAGUAACUUGGACCUAUAUCAGACUCAAGGUAGACAUGCUCUUUAGCUUGUUUUGAAGUGUUUAAACGUCAUCUGAGCCUGUGAGCAAAGAAGACAGAAAUUGAAAGACUCUUUCUAUAUCAGAGAAUUCUGCAAUUUAGCUCCACAUGAGUCCCUUACCUGCCAACACAUUUCCCAUCGGCAAGACAGAGAUGGGACACCUGUUCCUCCCACCAUGUUUUAUGGCAUUGAUGUUUGAAAUGUACCGAAGCAGUGGAAAGGGCAAGGAGAAUAAGCAAAGAAAAAGAGCAGGCUUUGGCGUCAAAGGACAUGGACUCAGUGGGCACCUAGGCUGGCUCCGAGAUAUUAACCAUGAUACCCAAUACUACUGGACUAAUUUCUUCGUGCAUGAAAGGAGAGGACACUGUUGGCUUUGCAGAUUGUUGGAAGUAUUAAAUAAAGCAAAGCCAUGAAGGAUUUUUAGAUGCUGAAUCAUGGAAACCAUGAGCUUUCUUCAGAUGUUUGUUUCCUUAGCUUAGAGAUGUAUGGCGACUAAGAGAAAGACCAAGAUUCGCAUUAAAGAAGAAAAGGGUACAGCCCAGGCUGGGUAGAAAUCAAUGUACAGUCUGUGGACAAAGAGAAUUCUGGCUGGUAUAAUAACAUAAGAAAUAUUUAUGAGGCUGAUGGAACAAAGGGAAUUCUGUUUGCUUCUCUCUACGUCAUGUUGUAGUUUGUUGUAUAAUAGCAAUAAAAAAUAAUCAUGUUUUUCA